UAAUUCUGGGAGUCAAGCGGAUCGAUGGGAGCUUGCUCCCUGAGAUCAGCGGCGGACGGGUGAGUAACACGUGGGUAACCUGCCUGUAAGACUGGGAUAACUCCGGGAAACCGGGGCUAAUACCGGAUAACACCUACCCCCGCAUGGGGGAAGGUUGAAAGGUGGCUUCGGCUAUCACUUACAGAUGGACCCGCGGCGCAUUAGCUAGUUGGUGAGGUAACGGCUCACCAAGGCGACGAUGCGUAGCCGACCUGAGAGGGUGAUCGGCCACACUGGGACUGAGACACGGCCCAGACUCCUACGGGAGGCAGCAGUAGGGAAUCUUCCGCAAUGGACGAAAGUCUGACGGAGCAACGCCGCGUGAGUGAAGAAGGUUUUCGGAUCGUAAAACUCUGUUGUUAGGGAAGAACAAGUGCCGUUCGAAUAGGGCGGCACCUUGACGGUACCUAACCAGAAAGCCACGGCUAACUACGUGCCAGCAGCCGCGGUAAUACGUAGGUGGCAAGCGUUGUCCGGAAUUAUUGGGCGUAAAGCGCGCGCAGGUGGUUUCUUAAGUCUGAUGUGAAAGCCCACGGCUCAACCGUGGAGGGUCAUUGGAAACUGGGGAACUUGAGUGCAGAAGAGGAAAGUGGAAUUCCAAGUGUAGCGGUGAAAUGCGUAGAUAUUUGGAGGAACACCAGUGGCGAAGGCGACUUUCUGGUCUGUAACUGAACAACCGCAAGGCGCAAA
rnacentral:rRNA from 2 species